rnacentral:lncRNA from 1 species
UUAACACAUUAAGAUCAAACUUUACUACAAAAAAUAAAAACGUAUAUAAUACAAUUACACUUAAGUUAUAAAAUCUUAUGUCAAAUUCUCUUUUAAGUUACAAUUAUGGCAUAAAAUACACACCCAAUUUAAUUUACGACAUAUAACAUAUUGGAAAAAAAAAAUAAAACAUAAUAUAAAUGGGUUAAACGGGCCAACCCGCCAACCCGACCCGUUUAGCUAAACGGGUUCGCAGGUUCAACCUGAAAACUGACCUGAACCCGUUCAAAGCUUUUCCUGGAAAUGCAGAGUGCAUUUUUGCUUACUUUAGCUGGUGAAUUGUUUUUCCGACAUUCGGUUGGUACAUGAGAACUAAAUGGCACUUGAAUAGCUUUAUCAAAAGAAACUGCAGCCGGCAGCAUUUUUUCUUUAGGUUUGACCUCACUUUGACUUUUUACACGCCGAACCCCUGAUGGUUUGACUUUUGACCCGCAAGAAGCUUCUCUUCUCUUCUUAGAAUUGUUUAAACUCAGCAUUGAUGACUCAUCAAUGUAUCGUUUUGUAGGCUUACGCGAUCUUUUGAGCGUAAGUUCCCCAACACCACCAUGAUCUUCAACAGAGCUCGUGCUUGUGGGCCCGUCUUUACAAAACGGGGUUACUUCCGUCUCGUUUUGUGAAAAUUGAGGUAGGAAUAUCUCUUGGUUAUUAUUUUCUUGGUCAACGAAAGAAUUUGAAAAGUCUUCGAAUCGGUCUAGUCCUUUUGGUUCGGAUGGAUUAGUUGAUGUUCCGAAUAUACAGUUGCUAAUUAAGUAAUUUUGAUAUUCGAUUCCUAAAAUGUUUUCGGUUAAUGAAUUUUGUACGUCGAAACUACCCUUCAUCGGAAACUGAGUGUUCCUGGUGUGCAAACCUUCGUUGGAAACAUAGCCUAUAAAAGCACCAUGAUCAAAUCCAAUAUCUGUAGUAAAUGUUUUAAAAAUUGAUGGUAAUUUAAUAACAUCGUUAUGAGUAUAAUGAAAAGAGUAAAAUGACGUUUUCGUCCUUGAGACGUUUGUUGUUAGAAGAUUAUUCACUCCAACUUCAUGUGGCAAAACAUCAAAUGCCUAUAAUAUGCGUGAUUUCAUGAAUAUAAAUACAAGAACAAUGACUAAGUUUAACUAAGUCGAUAAACACGAACUAAACUAGCUUUUAAAAGAAACAAAGUAUGCAACAAUAACAUUUUAGUAUUUAUUUGAGAUGAAAAGUAACUUUCAAAAGAACUAAACUAGCUUUUAACAGAAGACGUACAUUACGAAUUGUCAUAUCUACACCUUCCAUGUUUCGAUUUGAAUCCGGGACACCUAUAUAAGAUGUAAAAAGUAACUCUCAUCAAUUGAAAUUACAACGCUAUUGUUAGGAGUGUAAACAAGCCUAGAAGCUCGAGAGCUACCCGUUAUCGGCUCGGUUAAAAGCUCAAACGAGCCGAGCUUUAACGAGCCCGGGAGCCCGAGCUCGAGCCUGAAUUAGAGCUCGUUUAGUUAUCGAGCCCGAGCUCGAGCCUGAAAUACAAAGCUCGUUUAGGCUCGCGAGCCUAAACGAGCCCAAACAAAAAUUUAUUUAUUUUUUAUAUAACAUAAUAAUAAUGAUGAUAACAUUGGCGAGUUGAACUCGAGCCGAGCUUUGGCUCGUU